AUGUUCCGUUGCCUCGGCGCCAAAGCCCAAAGGAAGGUUUACAGAAUCCAGUCAGAUUGAAGCAAGACGCCACAGCCGGAUUUCUGUACAUCCAUUUGCACAGUACUGUACAACAAGUUUCCUUUGCUGAGUUCCUUGGUCAGGGGUUUAAACACAUUUUCUGUCCAGUACUGCAGUUGGAAUUUUCCAUCAACAUUUUUAUGGUAAGUAACUGCAAAACAUUUAUCACUACACAUUACAGUAAACAGUUUCUUAACUGAAUAUGUUGCUCUGAAAAAUCUAAAUAGUCCCAAAAAAGGAAAUUUACUCACUAUUCACUCACCAUGUUUCCAUGGUUCCAAACCUUUGAGUUUCUUUUAUCUGU
ensembl:processed_transcript